rnacentral:rRNA from 1 species
CCUACGGGAGGCAGCAGUGAGGAAUAUUGGUCAAUGGACGAGAGUCUGAACCAGCCAAGUAGCGUGAAGGAUGACUGCCCUAUGGGUUGUAAACUUCUUUUAUAUGGGAAUAAAAUGUUCCACGUGUGGGAUUUUGUAUGUACCAUAUGAAUAAGGAUCGGCUAACUCCGUGCCAGCAGCCGCGGUAAUACGGAGGAUCCGAGCGUUAUCCGGAUUGAUUGGGGUUAAAGGGAGCGUAGGUGGAUUGUUAAGUCAGUUGUGAAAGUUUGCGGCUCAACCGUAAGAUUGCAGUUGAAACUGGCAGUCUUGAGUACAGUAGAGGUGGGCGGAAUUCGUGGUGUAGCGGUGAAAUGCUUAGAUAUCACGAAGAACUCCGGUUGCGAAGGCAGCUCACUGGACUGCAACUGACACUGAGGCUCGAAAGUGUGGGUAUCAAACAGGAUUAGAUACCCCUGUAGUC